CCUACGGGGGGCAGCAGUGGGGAAUAUUGCACAAUGGGGGAAACCCUGAUGCAGCGACGCCGCGGGAGUGAAGAAGGAUGUCGGUAUGGAAAGCUCUAUCAGCAGGGAAGAAAAUGACGGUACCUGAUUAAGAAGCCCCGGCUAACUACGUGCCAGCAGCCGCGGUAAUACGUAGGGGGCAAGCGUUAUCCGGAUUUACUGGGUGUAAAGGGAGCGUAGACGGCAGCACAAGUCUGGAGGGAAAUGCCGGGGCUUAACCCCGGAACUGCUUUGGAAACUGUGCAGCUAGAGGGCAGGAGAGCUAAGUGGACUUCCUCGUGUCGCGGUUAACUGCGUCGAUAUUAGGAG
rnacentral:rRNA from 1 species